AGCUUUGCGCAGUGGCGAUAUCGUAACCAAUGAGGUACAUCCGAGGUGCGAUUAUUGCUAGUUGAAAACUGAACUUUAUUUCAUAAAAAACGUGACCUGUUUUCUGAUUUGGCACACUUCCUGAUAGACGUAGUUCUACGU